rnacentral:rRNA from 1 species
AGUGAACGCUGGCGGUAGGCCUAACACAUGCAAGUCGAACGGCAGCACAGUAAGAGCUUGCUCUUACGGGUGGCGAGUGGCGGACGGGUGAGGAAUACAUCGGAAUCUACUUUUUCGUGGGGGAUAACGUAGGGAAACUUACGCUAAUACCGCAUACGACCUACGGGUGAAAGCAGGGGAUCUUCGGACCUUGCGCGAUUGAAUGAGCCGCUGUCGGAUUAGCUAGUUGGGGGGGUAAAGGCCCACCAAGGCGACGAUCCGUAGCUGGUCUGAGAGGAUGAUCGGCCACACGGGAACGGAGACACGGUCCAGACUCCUACGGGAGGCAGCAGUGGGGAAUAUUGGACAAUGGGCGCAAGCCUGAUCCAGCCAUACCGCGUGGGUGAAGAAGGCCUUCGGGUUGUAAAGCCCUUUUGUUGGGAAAGAAAAGCAGCAGGUUAAUACCCCGCUGUUCUGACGGUACCCAAAGAAUAAGCACCGGCUAACUUCGUG